rnacentral:misc_RNA from 1 species
CCGAGUUUUGAACUCUCUGAGUUCAACUCCCACCCUGUGUUUACACUGUCUUCUUCGGCAAGACGUUUUGAGGCGUCUUGUGGCGUGAUCAAGCCACUGGCUGUCUUUUACAGAGACAGCGAGUGAGAGCUUGCCGAAGGCUUUUUAACUCUAUCUCUUGAAGUCUGAGUCUAAAUACAAUAAGUUA